rnacentral:rRNA from 1 species
AUGGCCGUCGUCAGUCGUACUGUGAAGCAUCCUGUUAAGUCAGGCAACGAGCGAGACCCACGCCACAGUUGCCAGCAUGUCCUCCGGGGAUGAUGGGGGACGACUGUUGGGACCGCCUCUGCUAAAGAGGAGGAAGGAAUGGGCAACGGUAGGUCAGCAUGCCCCGAACUUAUCCGGGCUACACGCGGGCUACAAUGGUCAGGACAAUGGGUAUCGACACCGAGAGGUGGAGGCAAUCUCCUAAACCUGUCCUUAGUUCGGAUUGUGGGCUGCAACUCGCCCACAUGAAGCUGGAAUCCGUAGUAAUCGCGUUUCAAAAUAGCGCGGUGAAUAUGUCCCUGCUCCUU